AACGAACGCUGGCGGCAGGCCUAACACAUGCAAGUCGAGCGAGGACUUCGGUCCUAGCGUCGGACGGGUGAGUAACGCGUGGGAACGUGCCCUUUGCUUCGGAAUAUCCCUGGGAAACUGGGAGUAAUACCGGAUGAGCCCUUUUGGGGAAAGAUUUAUCGGCGAAGGAUCGGCCCGCGUUGGAUUAGGUAGUUGGUGGGGUAAUGGCCUACUAAGCCGACGAUCCAUAGCUGGUUUGAGAGGAUGAUCAGCCACACUGGGACUGGGACACGGCCCAGACUCCUACGGGAGGCAGCAGUGGGGAAUCUUAGAAAAUGGGGGAAACAAUGAUCUAGCCAGGACGCGUGAGCGAUGAAGGCAUUAGGGUUGUAAAGCUCUUUCAGCUGGGAAGAUAAUGACGGUACCAGCAGAAGAAGCCCCGGCUAACUCCGUG
rnacentral:rRNA from 1 species